rnacentral:rRNA from 1 species
UAAUACGGGGGGUGCAAGCGUUGUUCGGAAUUAUUGGGCGUAAAGAGCGUGUAGGUGGUCUGUUAUGUCAGAUGUGAAAGUCCACGGCUCAACCGUGGAAGUGCAUUUGAAACUGGCAGUCUUGAAUCUCGGAGAGGGUGGCGGAAUUCCCAGUGUAGAGGUGAAAUUCGUAGAUAUUGGGAGGAACACCAGCGGCGAAGGCGGCCACCUGGACGAUGAUUGACGCUGAGGCGCGAAAGCAUGGGUAGCAAACAGGAUUAGAUACCCUGGUAGUCCAUGCCGUAAACGAUGGGUACUAGUUGGUGCGGGUAUUAACCCCUGCGCUGACGAAGCUAACGCAUUAAGUACCCCGCCUGGGGAGUACGGCCGCAAGGCUA